UUUGAACGCUGGCGGCAGGCCUAACACAUGCAAGUCGAACGAGUGGCGGACGGGUGAGUAAUGUCUGGGAAACUGCCUGAUGGAGGGGGAUAACUACUGGAAACGGUAGCUAAUACCGCAUACCAUCAGAUGUGCCCAGAUGGGUUUAGCUAGUUGGUGGGGUAACGGCUAACCAAGGCGACGAUCCCUAGCUGGUCUGAGAGGAUGACCAGCCACACUGGAACUGAGACACGGUCCAGACUCCUACGGGAGGCAGCAGUGGGGAAUAUUGCACAAUGGGCGCAAGGCUGAUGCAGCCAUGACGCGUGUAGGAAGAAGGCCUUCGGAUUGUAAAGUACUUUCAGCAGGGAGGCGUUACCCGCAGAAGAAGCACCGGCUAACUCCGUGCCAGCAGCCGCGGUAAUUC
rnacentral:rRNA from 1 species